ensembl:snoRNA Gm23482 small nucleolar RNA SNORA24
CCCUGUGUUCCUGGGACCCGGCUUCUGUGGCUGUCUUCCCUUGCUGCCCAGCCACAGUAGAGCAUGUUCAUGUUUUUGACAAAGCUGUCACUGUUUACUUGGUACCAGCUUCUGAUUUGCACAGGUAACAGUU